UAGCUCAAUUGAUAGAGUGCCUGCCUAGCACGCAGGAAGCUCUGGGUUUGAUCCCCGG
rnacentral:tRNA from 1 species